AUUGAACGCUGGCGGAAUGCUUUACACAUGCAAGUCGAACGGCAGCACGGACUUCGGUCUGGUGGCGAGUGGCGAACGGGUGAGUAAUGUAUCGGAACGUGCCCAGUCGUGGGGGAUAACGUAGUGAAAAUUGCGCUAAUACCGCAUACGAUCUAUGGAUGAAAGCGGGGGAUCGCAAGACCUCGCGCGAUUGGAGCGGCCGAUAUCAGAUUAGGUAGUUGGUGGGGGAAAGGCCCACCAAGCCAACGAUCUGUAGCUGGUCUGAGAGGACGACCAGCCACACUGGAACUGAGACACGGUCCAGACUCCUACGGGAGGCAGCAGUGGGGAAUUUUGGACAAUGGGCGAAAGCCUGAUCCGGCCAUUCCGCGUGCAGGAUGAAGGCCCUCGGGUUGUAAACUGCUUUUGUACAGAACGAAAAGGUUUCUACUAAUACUAGGAGCUCAUGACGGUACUGUAAGAAUAAGCACCGGCUAACUACGUGCCAGCCGCCGUAAUAC
rnacentral:rRNA from 1 species